GUCAAGCGAGUAAGCGCAUGCGGUGGAUGCCUAGGCGACAGGAGGCGAUGAAGGACGUUGUAGUCUGCGAUAAGCCCCGGCGAGCUGACAAACAAGCUUUGACCCGGGGAUUUCCGAAUGGGGAAACCCACUGCUUCGGCAGUAUCCUUACCUGAAUUCAUAGGGUAAGGAGGCAAUACCCGGGGAACUGAAACAU
rnacentral:rRNA from 1 species